rnacentral:misc_RNA from 1 species
GAUGAAGAACGUAGCGAAAUGCGAUAAGUAGUGUGAAUUGCAGAAUUCAGUGAAUCAUCGAAUCUUUGAACGCACAUUGCGCCCCAUGGUAUUCCGUGGGGCAUGCCUGUUCGAGCGUCAUUUACCCCCUCAAGCUCCGCUUGGUGUUGGGCGUCUGUCCCGCUUCGCGCGCGGACUCGCCCCAAAGGUAUUGGCAGCGGUCGUGCCAGCUUCUCGCGCAGCACAUUGCGCUUCUCGAGGCACCGGUGGGCCCGCGUCCAUCAAGCUCACCCCCCCAGCUUGACCUCGGAUCAGGUAGGGAUACCCGCUGAACUUAAGCAUAUCAAUAAGCGGAGGA